CAAGCUGACCCAUCUCAUUUCUUCUGGCUUUAUAUACAGCCCUGUGUAACAGGCUACUGCUUGCUGCUGACUUGGUUCUUCUUGUCAUUGUUGUUCAAUAGGAGUGAGAUUGCCAAAGUUGUAGUUGUUUAGGUUUGUAAAAAAUGAGCUGCUCAGUUUUGUGUGCCAACACAAAGUUGCCAACACUCUUGUCACAAAAGCCGAUUCCAACUUUCUGUCAAGCACAGUGGGGAGGAGCAGAGGUGGGAGAGCAGUAGGUCCUGAGCUGGCCAGCUCUGAGGGACCAGCGACGGGUGUUUGGAGAAAGGCUGGUGAGCACAGAGCAUGCCCAACACCACGUGCAGCAUCUCCAGUUCUCUGAAGGGCAGGGGCUUCUGGUUUGGCAGGUGCACAGGCUGGAUCCUUAUGCAGGAUGGCAUCUGAAGGUAGAUAAAGAGAAAAUUAUUGCUUUGACUAAUGGGUGCCUCCUGUAAUUUGAAAUGGGAAGUGGAAAUACAACCUGUUUUGAUGCUCUGCUCCUGGAAGCUCACUGAACCAGAGACUUUCCAGAUGACUCACAGCAAGAUGGUUGUUUGCUGAGAACUGCUGUAUCAAGGAUUUGGCAGGAUUAUAUAACAAGCAGUUAUCCUUCACCCCUGAUAACAUGUCUUCUCUGCAAGACUGAUGCUUACAAUUGACCAGUUUUGAGGAAGAGCAGUAAAACAAAAUGGCAAGUGCCUGGAGACAUCUUCAGGAUCCAGCUGAGCUCCUGCCUGGAACAGAUCUAUUAUUUGUUUCUAGGCAUUGCACUGCAGUUGUUCAGGAAAAGAUAAUAACAUUUCACUAUUAGCCUCAUAAUGCCACCCACUCCUUUGCAGUGGUCCUGUUUAAGUUGUGCUUGGCAUGGUGUACCUCAAUCUAUUUAG